rnacentral:rRNA from 1 species
UACGUAGGGACCAAGCGUUGUUCGGAAUUACUGGGCGUAAAGGGCGCGCAGGCGGCUGCUCAAGUCAGGCGUGAAAUCCUGGAGCUCAACUCCAGAACUGCCUUUGAUACUGAAGAUCUUGAGUUCGGGAGAGGUGAGUGGAACUGCGAGUGUAGAGGUGAAAUUCGUAGAUAUUCGCAAGAACACCAGUGGCGAAGGCGGCUCACUGGCCCGAUACUGACGCUGAGGCACGAAAGCGUGGGGAGCAAACAGG